rnacentral:rRNA from 1 species
UACGGAGGGUGCAAGCGUUAAUCGGAAUCACUGGGCGUAAAGCGUACGUAGGCGGCCUUGCAAGUCAAGUGUGAAAGCCCACGGCUCAACCGUGGAAUAGCACUCGAAACUGCUCGGCUUGAGUUCGGGAGAGGGUGGCGGAAUUCCAGGUGUAGGAGUGAAAUCCGUAGAUAUCUGGAGGAACACCAGUGGCGAAGGCGGCCACCUGGACCGAUACUGACGCUGAGGUACGAAAGCGUGGGGAGCAAACAGG